rnacentral:miRNA from 1 species
UGGUGCUUGAUCAUACCACUGA